CUUUAUUUUUAAUGAAGUUCCAGACUGCGUGAGUAAGAACAUGGUCCUUUGUUCACUUCAUUUUAUAGCAGAUUUGUUUACAAACAAAGCACAAUUCAAGGUGGGAUUUUCAGAAAGAUUGAAACUAAAAGAUGAUGCUGUGCUACUAUAUUGGAUCUGACAGUAACCUCGCAACACACAAGUGUGAUACCAAUCAUACCAGUGGGCUCAGUCUACAUUCCACCACACCUAUUCAAACAUAGUGUUUCGAUGAGAAUGGUUAAAAAACAGGACCUAUUACUUUUUCUAAAUUAUGAUGUUUUUUGAUGUAAAAAUCUUGAGAACAUUAUAAGGAGAAUUCAGAGAACAGUAUAAAAUAAUAAUUAAAAAAAGGCAGUUCAUGACCCUUUUAAAAGUCAUGUAGAGUAUUCCAGUCAGAUCAAUUAAGCCACAUGUUCCUUUUUAAUACCUCAGAAAACAUAUUUAAAACUUGAUAACACACUUAAUUAGUAAACAGUAAAUGUCCUCAGUGAUGUUACUCCAAAGUCAAAGCAAAGAUUAAUAUAAUCCAGGUCCUCAAACCUAAAAACACUAAAGAAUCUCAACAAAGCAUGAUGGUUCAAUAAGUGAAGAAAUCACUAGGUACUCUACAGCAGGUGAAAAAAAAUUGUAUAUACAGUAAAAUGAGCUGUAAUGUAAAAUAAAUAGAGAUACAUAAGAAAAAGAUUAUAUAUAUAUAUAUAUAUAUAUAUUUUUUUUUUUCCAACCUAAGGACAUGGCCAGGAUGGAAGGAUCUCUAUUACUUUAUGCGACCUUGUGAAGCUUUGGGACAGUGUCUCCCCAGCUGAAAAAGUGUACCUCAGCAUGUAUCAGACAAACUGUGACUGUGAGAUUUCGCCCUGUACUGGAGCAUCCUGUUUGAUCAAAAUGCGUCAAAAAAAGUGUCUGAUGAGAGUCCAGAAUCCAUUCGUUAUUGAUGAUAAAAGGGCUCUUCAGUCUAUUUGCCUGCAAAGCAACGACGGCUUCUGCAGUUGGCAACAAAUCAUUGUUGAUAAGUAACUACAACAGCUCCUAAAAAUGACACCCUGAAGACCAAGUGCAUCCGCCAUUCGUCAGUGUGGAAGUUUGCCCUUUUGUUUUUCAAAAUGCUUAGAAUGCUUAAAAGAACAUGUUUAAAUGAAUUCAAACAUUUUACUGAAGCUUUGCAAUGCAAAUACAUACAAAACACUGUGUUCAUGGGGCUAUGCAAUUAACCAUUAAACUGUUUUGUAAGUAAAAGUGUCUGUGUAUAUUUAAUGGGAAAUGUAAGCAUUAAGCAUGUUUGUGUAUAUUUGGAUGUUUAGUGGCAUGCUUUAUAUCAAAUGCAUUCAUCUGGUAUUGUUUUUCACUUUUCUCUUCUGUUGAGCAUUGAAAUAAAAAGGAAACAGUUUAAUAAAAAAAAAAAAAAAAUAAAAAAAAAAAAAAAAAAAAA